rnacentral:misc_RNA from 1 species
UCUCCGUUGGUGAACCAGCGGAGGGAUCAUUACCGAGUUUACAACUCCCAAACCCAAUGGGAACCAUACCAAACUGUUGCCUCGGCGGGGUCACGCCCCGGGUGCGUCGCAGCCCCGGAACCAGGCGCCCGCCGGAGGGACCAACCAAACUCUUUCUGUAGUCCCCUCGCGGACGUUAUUUUUACAGCUCUGAGCAAAAAUUCAAAAUGAAUCAAAACUUUCAACAACGGAUCUCUUGGUUCUG